UUCCCCUGGCAAUGGACAGAGACACUGUGUUGGUGGUGGUGUUCCUCUAUCAGUCAGGGGUAGAGUAGAUGGCAGUCCUUUGUUCAUCGUAGCUUGAUGCCUGGCUUGGUGGCCAAAGCUGUUUUAUGCCUAGGACUCAUAA